rnacentral:rRNA from 1 species
CUACCGGGAGGCUGCAGUGGGGAAGUAUUGCGCAAUGGGGGAAACCCGUGACGCAGCGAUGCCGCGUGGGUGAAUAAGGCCUUCGGGUUGUAAAGCCCUUUCAGUGGGGAAGAUGAUGACGGUACCCACAGAAGAAGCCCCGGCUAACUCCGUGCCAGCAGCCGCGGUAAUACGGAGGGGGCGAGCGUUGUUCGGAAUUAUUGGGCGUAAAGGGCGCGUAGGCGGUUUAUUAAGUCAGGAGUGAAAGCCUCAGGCUUAACCUGGGAACUGCUUUUGAAACUGGUAGACUAGAGUCCGGCAGAGGAUGGUGGAAUUCCCCGUGUAGAGGUGAAAUUCGUAGAUAUGGGGAGGAAGACCAGAGGCGAAGGCGACCAUCUGGACCGGUACUGACGCUGAGGCGCGAAAGCGUGGGGAGCAAGCAGGAUUAGAUACCCGGGUAGUC